rnacentral:misc_RNA from 1 species
UGCCGGCCGGCGGUCACC